GGAUCCAGACUUUGAUUAUGGCUCAGGAUGAACGCUAGCUACAGGCUUAACACAUGCAAGUCGAGGGGAAACGACAUCGAAAGCUUGCUUUUGAUGGGCGUCGACCGGCGCACGGGUGAGUAACGCGUAUCCAACCUGCCCACCACUUGGGGAUAACCUUGCGAAAGUAAGACUAAUACCCAAUGAUAUCUCUAGAAGACAUCUGAAAGAGAUUAAAGAUUUAUCGGUGAUGGAUGGGGAUGCGUCUGAUUAGCUUGUUGGCGGGGUAACGGCCCACCAAGGCGACGAUCAGUAGGGGUUCUGAGAGGAAGGUCCCCCACAUUGGAACUGAGACACGGUCCAAACUCCUACGGGAGGCAGCAGUGAGGAAUAUUGGUCAAUGGGCGAGAGCCUGAACCAGCCAAGUAGCGUGCAGGAUGACGGCCCUAUGGGUUGUAAACUGCUUUUAUAAGGGAAUAAAGUGAGUCUCGUGAGACUUUUUGCAUGUACCUUAUGAAUAAGGACCGGCUAAUUCCGUGCCAGCAGCCGCGGUAAUACGGAAGGUCCGGGCGUUAUCCGGAUUUAUUGGGUUUAAAGGGAGCGUAGGCCGGAGAUUAAGCGUGUUGUGAAAUGUAGAUGCUCAACAUCUGAACUGCAGCGCGAACUGGUUUCCUUGAGUACGCACAAAGUGGGCGGAAUUCGUGGUGUAGCGGUGAAAUGCUUAGAUAUCACGAAGAACUCCGAUUGCGAAGGCAGCUCACUGGAGCGCAACUGACGCUGAAGCUCGAAAGUGCGGGUAUCGAACAGGAUUAGAUACCCUGGUAGUCCGCACGGUAAACGAUGGAUGCCCGCUGUUGGUCUGAACAGGUCAGCGGCCAAGCGAAAGCAUUAAGCAUCCCACCUGGGGAGUACGCCGGCAACGGUGCAACUCAAAUGAAUUGACGG
rnacentral:rRNA from 1 species